rnacentral:tRNA from 2 species
GCCCAGGUGGCGGAAUUGGUAUACGCGUACGUUUGAGGGGCGUAUGGGGAAACCCAUCCGGGUUCAAGUCCCGGCCUGGGCACCA